rfam:Beta vulgaris subsp. vulgaris Bvchr9.sca025.con0174.1, whole genome shotgun sequence.
UCAGAGAGAUUGGAUAAAGCCGGAGAAGAAGUAGUGCAAGGAUAGAGCUGCUUGCAAACUACAUUUUCAUGUGUUUUGGCUCUACCCUUGCACUGCCUCUUCCCUGGCUAUUAUGUCUCCUCUACAU